GGAUCCAGACUUUGAUCAUGGCUCAGGAUGAACGCUAGCUACAGGCUUAACACAUGCAAGUCGAGGGGAAACGACAUCGAAAGCUUGCUUUUGAUGGGCGUCGACCGGCGCACGGGUGAGUAACGCGUAUCCAACCUGCCCAUCACUUGGGGAUAACCUUGCGAAAGUAAGACUAAUACCCAAUGAUAUCUCUAGAAGACAUCUGAAGGAGAUUAAAGAUUUAUCGGUGAUGGAUGGGGAUGCGUCUGAUUAGCUUGUUGGCGGGGUAACGGCCCACCAAGGCGACGAUCAGUAGGGGUUCUGAGAGGAAGGUCCCCCCCAUUGGAACUGAGACACGGUCCAAACUCCUACGGGAGGCAGCAGUGAGGAAUAUUGGUCAAUGGGCGAGAGCCUGAACCAGCCAAGUAGCGUGCAGGAAGACGGCCCUAUGGGUUGUAAACUGCUUUUAUAAGGGAAUAAGGUGAGUCUCGUGAGGCUUUUUGCAUGUACCUUAUGAAUAAGGACCGGCUAAUUCCGUGCCAGCAGCCGCGGUAAUACGGAAGGUCCGGGCGUUAUCCGGAUUUAUUGGGUUUAAAGGGAGCGUAGGCCGGAGAUUAAGCGUGUUGUGAAAUGUAGAUGCUCAACGUCUGCACUGCAGCGCGAACUGGUUUCCUUGAGUACGCACAAAGUGGGCGGAAUUCGUGGUGUAGCGGUGAAAUGCUUAGAUAUCACGAAGAACUCCGAUUGCGAAGGCAGCUCACUGGAGCGCAACUGACGCUGAAGCUCGAAAGUGCGGGUAUCGAACAGGAUUAGAUACCCUGGUAGUCCGCACGGUAAACGAUGGAUGCCCGCUGUUGGUCUGAAUAGGUCAGCGGCCAAGCGAAAGCAUUAAGCAUCCCACCUGGGGAGUACGCCGGCAACGGUGCAACUCA
rnacentral:rRNA from 1 species